CUCAUUCUAAGCACUUUAUGCAUACUUUUCAUCAAUUCUCUCUCAAAGAAAACCCUAGAUCUCAAAACUUACUCUCCCAAGAAAUAAAAUUUCCUUCAUUUUUCUUCUAAGAUAACUCAAGAUUAAGGAUUCCCAAUUUAAGAACUUCAAGAAUUCAUCUUCAAAAGAACAAAUAGAAAUCCAAAAUCAAGUGUUCUUAUCAAUUUCAUCAAUUAAGGUUUGUGGGAUUUAUGAGCAAGG
rnacentral:lncRNA from 1 species